GCAUAACGCGAAGAACCUUACCUAGACUUGACAUCUCCUGAAUUACCCUUAACCGGGGAAGCCCUUCGGGGCAGGAAGACAGGUGGUGCAUGGUUGUCGUCAGCUCGUGUCGUGAGAUGUUGGGUUAAGUCCCGCAACGAGCGCAACCCUUAUUAUUAGUUGCUGCCAUUAAGUUGAGCACUCUAGUAAGACUGCCCGGGUUAACCGGGAGGAAGGUGGGGAUGACGUCAAAUCAUCAUGCCCCUUAUGUCUAGGGCUACACACGUGCUACAAUGGUAGGUACAACAAGAUGCAAAGCCGUGAGGUGGAGCAAAACUGUAAAACCUAUCCCAGUUCGGAUUGAAGGCUGAAACUCGCCUUCAUGAAGCCGGAGUUGCUAGUAAUCGCGAAUCAGCAUGUCGCGGUGAAUACGUUCCCGGGUCUUGUACACACCG
rnacentral:rRNA from 1 species